CUGGCGUCACGUCUCACCGGGUUGAGCCAUCGACGACACCACGCAGUGACUCGCAGCAGCCGUUGCAGCGUCGGGAACCGCAGAAGAAGGUCCGGUUCGGUAAUGACUGGCGCCUUGACUACCAGGCUGGUGACUCGUUGCUCAGGGAGGUCAUCCUCUGGGACGUCGAUGUCUGCACCAGGCCAGGCAGCCUCGUCUCCUGACAGCCAGGGUUUUCUCGUCCGGCGACGUGUCUCCAAUGAGCGUCUGGAAGCAGGGUCUGGAUCUGCGACACUCGGUUGGCAACAAAGGUCUUCCAGCGGGUGCAGUGUCCGCGAAUCCAGUGAAGAGUGACCUUGGAGUCGGACCACAGGUGCACCGGCGUAGCAGCCAAGCCGAGGGUAGUGCGUACAUGCAACAUGAGCGUGCGUUGCGGAUGUAUACGACGGCGGCGUAUCCUCGCUCCGAUGCAUCGGCAAACCCAUGG